rnacentral:lncRNA from 1 species
GGAAAGACUCUUUUACGGCCCUCAGCACUGCUGUUCUGUGAACUUGUGCAGCAUGGUCCCCAGUGAAGACACCAGUGGUGGUAAAAGGGGGAAGAGGGACUUCCUUGGUCCCUUUACCAAACUUCUUUGAUUGUUUUGAGUUGUUUGGCCAUAAGUUAGUCAGGAAAGGAACCAGAAGGACAGCCUACUGGGGAUGCUUCCACAGAGCCAAACUGCAUGAAAAAAAUGGAAGUAAAAUAACUAAGAGAUGCACGACCAAAGCUACUCAAAAGAUCUGUUGACUGCUGGGGAACAUACACAAAUUAUAAUAUGAAUACAGCCUUUCCCCAAGAAGUUGGAAAUAAAAAAGAGAAAUAUAAUGCAGUGUGUCUACUACCUGUGGAGAGCCUAAACUCUCACGCACACAUUAAACUUUAGCCUCUGUAGUGGACAGCCCUCAAUAUUUAUGACCCACUCAGGCAUGAAGAGUGUGACACAGAGAGAGCCUGCUUAGUUAGUGGCUGGCUUAAUGACCAUCAGAAGCUUGUUAUGUGGCACUUAGCAGAAUGUGUUUGUGGAGUUAUGAUGUACAUACUUGUUCCUUCCCAACCUGACCAGUCUGCAAACUCAGGGACUAGGACUAGCUCAUCCCUGGGUCUGGCAAGAGGAUGCCCUUGAAAAACGCUCUGAGGAGUUCCCGUUGUGGCUCAGCAGAAACAAAUCUGGCUAGUAUCUGUGAGGAUGAGGGUUCUAUCCCUGGCCUCGCUCAGUGGGUUAAGGAUCUGGUAUUGCUGUGAGCUGUGGUGUAGGUCGCAGAUGAGGCUUGGAUCUGGUGUGGCUGUGGCAUAGGCCAGCAGCUACAGCUCUGAUUUGACCCCUAGAUUGGGAGCUUCCAUAUGGCAUGAGUGCAGCCCUAAAAAGCAAACAACAACAAUAACAACAACAACAAAAAUCUGCUCUGAGUAAGAGAUCGUAGCUCUACUUCUAGUUAUUUUGGGAGGAGAAAUUUUUAGGCAAGGCGCAAUAUCUCCAUUGUCCAGUUUUAAAUCUAGGAUGUGAUAAUAGGGGCCAACAUUCAUUGAGCUCUUAUUCAAUACAAAGCACUGGAUCAAGAGCUACAUUAAAGAACUACAUGUGUGUAACAUAAAAAGUCAAAUAGAACUAGAAGGUUUAUAGUGAAAAACAGCAACCCUCUUCACUACCUCAUUCCUAAAGCCACUACUUGAUUUGCUUCUCAGUUCUUUCUCUCCAUAUUUCUCAAUAAUGUGCUUCUGAUGCUAUUGUUUAAUUUUUAAAAUACACAGUCUACUGAUCAAAGAGUGUGGUUUAGCUCCUAUACCCAUCCACUCUCUCACAUUUCUGCUCCUCUAAUCUCACAUUUUUGACUAAAUAUUCAGUGUUUAGGUCUUAAUAAAUAUAAAUAGUAUUUUCUAUUGACAACACUUUCCAAGUAUUCAAGGACUCCAUGUGUUUUUUACACGACUUGAAUUUGCUUUGGAAUUCGUAAUCACUUUGUUUGCUUGAUUUUCUAUGUGCCUAGAAAAUGGAGUCUCAAACUUUCCAGCAGAAGCAUUAAGCUCUUCUCCAUUUUAUCUAACAAAUCCAAAAAACCUCAGCUGGCAAUCAUUUGGAGCCUUUCCUGCUGGAGUCCCUGGCCCUGCUCCACUCUGGAAGGACUGGGCUCUUGGUCUGUCACUUGCUGUCACCCUGAGCCUUCCCUUCCUUCUCAUUCUGGAAUUCCUUUUAUUUCAUUCUUGUAUGUGAUCUGUUUUCUGGAUCUCUGUCUUUGGCCUUCCUGUUUUUCCUCAAGUUUUGGUAAAACACAUAUUCUAUCCCAUACAGAAGGAGAAAAAGGCAGCAUUUGAUACCUUGCAUGCCUGAUGGUUUUAUACAGCCCUUACUCUUGAUUCAUAGUUUGGCUGGGUAUAGAAUUCCAAGCAGGACAUCAUUUUCCUUUAGGAUUUGAAGGCAUUCAUGACUCUACAGCAUUUUCAUGUCAUUCUGAUCCUACAUUCUUUGAAUAGUCUUUGUAAUUUUUUGUAUGACUUCUCUUUCUCUCUUUCAUCUCUACAUUUAAGUUUUUUUUUUUUUUAAUUUUUUUUUUAACCCCUAGGAUAUUGACUUUCCGUGAUGAUUUUUGGUAUCAUCUCCCACCCCACUCCCAACACUUUUUUUUUAUGUGCAGAAGGUUGCUACUGGUUGGAUUUGGUCAAUCUAGAAAAAUAUAUCUUGAUUGCUGGGGUAUUUUCCUGUAUUCGUUAUUUGAUAAUUUUUUCCUUUCCAUUUUCUAUUUUCUCAUUCUAGAACUAUUAGUCAGAUAUUGGGUUUCUUAGAUGAUGGUGAUAUUCUUAGUCAUAUUCAUUACAGUUUUUUAAAAUUCUGAUCCUUGAAUUAUCUGUUUCUUUCACGUGCUCUCCCCGCUCCAGGCUUCCCCCCCUCCCCCCAGCUGUGCCCACCCCUCUACUCGCCUUUGCUUUUGAUCUGUCAUGUUAGUGACUCUCUUCUGAUCUCUUCUAUCUUGGCUCUCUAGUGAGUUACUAAAAAAUUGAGUGGAAGUCCUACGUGUGGGCCUAGUGUGAUGGGGUCACCCAAUCUUUCCUCAGCACCUGUCCAUCUUUCUCUCACACUGGCUACUCUUCAGAAAGUCUCCUGCCUUUGGGGUGUGCUCUUGGCUGCCAGUAUUCAGGGGAGAGUACUAGGACUCUCACAAUAGGCUGCCAUCUUUCACUCUAUCCUAUUUACCUCCCUGCACUUUCACUGUGUACCUUGAGUGUCCUUCAGUGCCCACUAAGUGUCCUUGAGUCUAUCCUCCUCUGGUCUCUCUCUCUAGAGGGGUGACCACUGUGUGUUAGGGUUGGAGGAGGGCGUCUGAACAUCUAUCUACCCUGUACACUCACCAUUAUGAAUCUUCCAGCUUUUAACCCAGCUCUCAGACCUACUUGCUGAGAAUCCUGCUCCCUCUUCUUCUGAACCUUUCUGGGGUUUGGUGAUGUAAACUGGCCUCCUUUUCAUUAAUUUCUUUCUGCAGACAGUCACAGAUCAGCUUUCCCUUUUCUAGUAGGUGGGUGGGUACGUGGGUUGGUAUCAUUUUUACUCUUCUACUAUCACUUCAGUAGGGCUUCAGGGCAGAAUGAAUUUAAAUGCAUGCACUCAGUCUUUUUGUGUGUGUGUAUGUGUGUGUGUGUUUUGUCUUUUUAGGGCCACACCCAUGGCAUAUGGAGGUUCCCAGGCUAGGGGUCUAAUCAGAGCUGUCGCUGCUGGCCUAGGCCAGCAGCAACGCCAGAUCUGAGGCACAUCUGUGACCUACAUCACGGCAACAUCGGAUCCUUAACUCACUGAUAGAGGCCAGGGAUCAAACCUGCAACCUCAUGGUUCCUAGUCAGAUUUGUUUCCGCUGUGCCAAGACGGGAACUCCAGUUACAGCCAGGAAGUGAUAGAGUUGGAUCUCAAACCCCACUCUGUCUGACUCUCUGCCUCAGAGGAUAGAGCUUAGUGGUCUCCAAAGCAGUGGUUCUCAAUCCAUUUUUUACAUUAGAAUCACCCAGGGAGCUUUUAAAAAUGUUAAUAGCUAGGCCACACUGAACCAAUUAAAUCAGAGUCUCUGAGGAUGGACUCAGGCACUGAUGGUUUUUAAGAGUUCUCCUGGGAUACUCUAAUGUGCAUCCUGGAUUGAGAACCACCGUUCCAGGAUUCCUGCUACCACUUUCCUCUGAGUACAGAGGAUUACCCUGCAGUGGGACAGUCCAGAACUGCCUGUGAAGCUCCUUAGGCCCCUGCCUUAACUAUCCUCCAUCCUUUCCACCCUGCUCUAUUCAAAUAGGGUUGCCAGAUUUAGCACAUGAAAAACUAAACAAAACAGGACAGCCAGUUAAAUUUGAAUUUCAGAUAAAUACAGUUUUUUUAGCCUCAUAUUCCAUGUUUGUGACAUACUUAUGCUAACAAACUAUUUGUUGAUUCUUUGACAUUCAAAUUUAAUGAAGGGCCCUGCAUAUCAUCUGGUAACCCUAUAUUCAUAGCUCCUGUUUGCACAACAUUUGAUGGUGGUAGAACCUUCUGUCUGGAAGCAGCCAGCCUUCAAGCUUUCUGUGUCCUCCAGGCUCUUCCUGGCAUUGCAAGUACCCCACCCCCCAUUUCCCCACCAGUAGAAUCCAGCGGCUGGGCAGAACCCAAUGCUCCCAUCUCAUCUCCUUCUUUCUCCUUUUAAAAAUACCACAGUCACAUUUCUCAAUGACAUCUUCCAACACAGCUUCCUCAUUUUUCCUUCUGCAUCCCCAUUGCAUUUUAUUUGAGACUAAUGAACAGAUUAAAGUUAUGAGUUCAUUCUAUGUGUUGUGAGAUGAUGCACAUCUAUUUCCUUGAUUUGCCUGAAAGCAUCUCGGGGCUGGAAAAUUUGUCUUGUUCCUGUGCUAGUCCCCUCAGCACUGUGACUCUCAGGUGUGGCAGUGGGGCCUGAAGGCACUUAGGAAACUUAGGAAGUCCUUCCAACCCCCUCCUCCCUGAGGCUUCCAGCUGUCCAUUGCUUUGGCAAUUCUCCUCUGCCUGGCAGCCAGGCUCCAGGGCACUUAAGGACGCACUCACUCUCAGGGUCCUGCAAGUACUGCUUCUGAACUGGCACGACCCAGAGAGGGAGUACCUCCUUAAAUCACAGUGCCCUGCUAGCUUCCCCUUAGUCUGGCUGAGACUCUUGGAGAAGGAAGG